GACGAACGCUGGCGGCGUGCUUAACACAUGCAAGUCGAACGGUGAAGCGCCUUCCUUUUUGGUGGGUGUGGAUGAGUGGCGAACGGGUGAGUAACACGUGAGUAACCUGCCCCCUUCUUCUGGAUAACCGCAUGAAAGUGUUGCUAAUACGGGAUAUUCUGGGUCUGUCGCAUGAGGGGUCGGGGAAAGUUAUUGUUUCGGUGGUGGAUGGGCUCGCGGCCUAUCAGCUUGUUGGUGGGGUGAUGGCUUACCAAGGCGGUGACGGGUAGCCGGCCUGAGAGGGUAGACGAUCACACUGGGAAUGCGACACCGCCCCGACUACGACGGGAGGCAGCAGUGGGGACUAUUGCACAGUGGGAGGAAGCCUGAUGCAGCGCCGCCGCGGGAGGGAUGGAGGCCUUCGGGUUGUGAACCUCUUUCGCCAGUGAAGCAGGCCUGCCUCGUUUGUGGGUGGGUUGACGGUAGCUGGAUAAGAAGCGCCGGCUAACUACGUG
rnacentral:rRNA from 1 species